rnacentral:rRNA from 1 species
AGUGAACGCUGGCGGUAGGCCUAACACAUGCAAGUCGAACGGCAGCACAGUAAGAGCUUGCUCUUACGGGUGGCGAGUGGCGGACGGGUGAGGAAUACAUCGGAAUCUACUUUUUCGUGGGGGAUAACGUAGGGAAACUUACGCUAAUACCGCAUACGACCUACGGGUGAAAGCAGGGGAUCUUCGGACCUUGCGCGAUUGAAUGAGCCGAUGUCGGAUUAGCUAGUUGGCGGGGUAAAGGCCCACCAAGGCGACGAUCCGUAGCUGGUCUGAGAGGAUGAUCAGCCGCACUGGAACUGAGACACGGUCCAGACUCCUACGGGAGGCAGCAGUGGGGAAUAUUGGACAAUGGGCGCAAGCCUGAUCCAGCCAUACCGCGUGGGUGAAGAAGGCCUUCGGGUUGUAAAGCCCUUUUGUUGGGAAAGAAAAGCAGCAGGUUAAUACCCCGCUGCUCUGACGGUACCCAAAGAAUAAGCACCGGCUAACUUCGUG